GUGGGGAAUAUUGCACAAUGGGCGCAAGCCUGAUGCAGCAACGCCGCGUGAGGGAUGACGGCCUUCGGGUUGUAAACCUCUUUUAGUAGGGAAGAAGCGAAAGUGACGGUACCUGCAGAAAAAGCACCGGCUAACUACGUGCCAGCAGCCGCGGUAAUACGUAGGGUGCAAGCGUUGUCCGGAAUUAUUGGGCGUAAAGAGCUCGUAGGCGGCUUGUCGCGUCUGCUGUGAAAACCCGAGGCUCAACCUCGGGCCUGCAGUGGGUACGGGCAAGCUAGAGUGCGGUAGGGGAGAUUGGAAUUCCUGGUGUAGCGGUGGAAUGCGCAGAUAUCAGGAGGAACACCGAUGGCGAAGGCAGAUCUCUGGGCCGUAACUGACGCUGAGGAGCGAAAGCAUGGGGAGCGAACAGGAUUAGAUACCCCUGUAGUCC
rnacentral:rRNA from 1 species